AGCGAACGCUGGCGGCAGGCCUAACACAUGCAAGUCGAACGAACUCUUCGGAGUUAGUGGCGGUUGCGUGUGUCACAUGUCGGAAGGUGCCUUUAGGCUCGGAAUUACUCAUUUACACUUGUGCUAACAUCGAAUGUGUCCUUCUGGUGCCAGAUUUAUCCUGCUUGUAGCGGCCGGCGAUUUUCUAGCCUGGUGGUGAUGUAAAGGCCCACCAAGGCGUGGAUCAGUAGCUGGUUUGAGAGGAUGAUCAGCCACAUUGGGACUGAGACACGGCCCAGACUCCUACGGGAGGCAGCAGUGGGGGAUCUAGCGCAAUGGGCGAAAGCCUGACGCAGCCAUGCCGCGUGAAUGAUGAAGGUCUUAGGAUUGUAAAAUUCUUUCACCGGGGACGGUAAUGACGGUACCCGGAGAAGAAGCCCCGGCUAACUUCGUG
rnacentral:rRNA from 1 species